GUUGGGCCAGUAAUAAAACACAAUGAACUGGGCCAUCCAGUAUAGGUAUGAACGGGUCCACGAUUAAGCCCAAUGCUUGUUAUUUGCUAGGGUUUCUGUUUCGCUAUAAAUUCCUCAAGCGUAAAUCCCCGGUGAUAAUACGCAGCUCGGUCUCUGUGCUAUCUCCCAGGGUUUAACUUCUGAGUCUCCUUUCGAUUUUUGUUCACCAUGAGAGCCAAGUGGAAGAAGAAGCGUAUGAGGAGAUUGAAGAGGAAGCGCCGAAAGAUGAGGCAGAGAUCGAAGUAGUGUGCGUGUUUCCCCAGCAACUAUUGCCCUUAGUUUUGUUUCACUUCUGCUAUGUGUUUCUUUCUCAAUCUAAUGUUAUGAUACAUUUUAUUGGUUUC